rnacentral:lncRNA from 1 species
CCACCUUAAGUUUCCACUGCACUGUAGCUCAUUCCAUCUGUUCUCUUUCAGUGCCAUGAAUCUGGACAAAUUCGAGAAAGGUCCUAGGGAAAUUUUUCAUCCUGAGAUACAAAAGGACUUGCUGGUUCUGGAAGAACAAGAGGGCUCUGUGAAUUUCAAAUUUGGGGUUCUUUUUGCCAAAGACGGACAGCUCACUGAUGAUGAGAUGUUCAGCAA